rnacentral:rRNA from 2 species
GAGUUUGAUCAUGGCUCAGAUUGAACGCUGGCGGCAGGCCUAACACAUGCAAGUCGAACGGUAACAGAAAGCAGCUUGCUGCUUUGCUGACGAGUGGCGGACGGGUGAGUAAUGUCUGGGAAACUGCCCGAUGGAGGGGGAUAACUACUGGAAACGGUAGCUAAUACCGCAUAACGUCGCAAGACCAAAGAGGGGGACCUUAGGGCCUCUUGCCAUCGGAUGUGCCCAGAUGGGAUUAGCUAGUAGGUGGGGUAACGGCUCACCUAGGCGACGAUCCCUAGCUGGUCUGAGAGGAUGACCAGCCACACUGGAACUGAGACACGGUCCAGACUCCUACGGGAGGCAGCAGUGGGGAAUAUUGCACAAUGGGCGCAAGCCUGAUGCAGCCAUGCCGCGUGUAUGAAGAAGGCCUUCGGGUUGUAAAGUACUUUCAGCGGGGAGGAAGGGAGUAAAGUUAAUACCUUUGCUCAUUGACGUUACCCGCAGAAGAAGCACCGGCUAACUCCGUGCCAGCAGCCGCGGUAAUACGGAGGGUGCAAGCGUUAAUCGGAAUUACUGGGCGUAAAGCGUACGCAGGCGGUUUGUUAAGUCAGAUGUGAAAUCCCCGGGCUCAACCUGGGAACUGCAUCUGAUACUGGCAAGCUUGAGUCUCGUAGAGGGGGGUAGAAUUCCAGGUGUAGCGGUGAAAUGCGUAGAGAUCUGGAGGAAUACCGGUGGCGAAGGCGGCCCCCUGGACGAAGACUGACGCUCAGGUGCGAAAGCGUGGGGAGCAAACAGGAUUAGAUACCCUGGUAGUCCACGCCGUAAACGAUGUCGACUUGGAGGUUGUGCCCUUGAGGCGUGGCUUCCGGAGCUAACGCGUUAAGUCGACCGCCUGGGGAGUACGGCCGCAAGGUUAAAACUCAAAUGAAUUGACGGGGGCCCGCACAAGCGGUGGAGCAUGUGGUUUAAUUCGAUGCAACGCGAAGAACCUUACCUGGUCUUGACAUCCACGGAAGUUUUCAGAGAUGAGAAUGUGCCUUCGGGAACCGUGAGACAGGUGCUGCAUGGCUGUCGUCAGCUCGUGUUGUGAAAUGUUGGGUUAAGUCCCGCAACGAGCGCAACCCUUAUCCUUUGUUGCCAGCGGUCCGGCCGGGAACUCAAAGGAGACUGCCAGUGAUAAACUGGAGGAAGGUGGGGAUGACGUCAAGUCAUCAUGGCCCUUACGACCAGGGCUACACACGUGCUACAAUGGCGCAUACAAAGAGAAGCGACCUCGCGAGAGCAAGCGGACCUCAUAAAGUGCGUCGUAGUCCGGAUUGGAGUCUGCAACUCGACUCCAUGAAGUCGGAAUCGCUAGUAAUCGUGGAUCAGAAUGCCACGGUGAAUACGUUCCCGGGCCUUGUACACACCGCCCGUCACACCAUGGGAGUGGGUUGCAAAAGAAGUAGGUAGCUUAACCUUCGGGAGGGCGCUUACCACUUUGUGAUUCAUGACUGGGGUGAAGUCGUAACAAGGUAACCGUAGGGGAACCUGCGGUUGGAUCACC